rnacentral:rRNA from 1 species
AGUUUCGUAUCGUCGACGUCACGGAGAACGCUGGCGGCGUGCUAACACAUGCAAGUGAACGGAACUUAGUUGAAGGAAGUUACUUCGGAAGGACGAUUGGGUUAAGUUUAGUGGCGGACGGGUGAGUAACGCGUGAGUAACCUGCCUCCGAGAGGGGAAGUAACAAUACUGAAAAGAUUGCUAAUACCGCAUAACAUAGCGAAGUCGCAUGGCAGCGCUAUCAAAGAUUUAUCGCUCGGAGAUGGACUCGCGUCCGAUUAGUUAGUUGGUGAGGUAACGGCUCACCAAGACCGCGAUCGGUAGCCGGACUGAGAGGUUGAACGGCCACAUUGGGACUGAGACACGGCCCAGACUCCUACGGGAGGCAGCAGUGGGGGAUAUUGCGCAAUGGGGGAAACCCUGACGCAGCAACGCCGCGUGAAGGAUGAAGGUUUUCGGAUUGUAAACUCCUUUUAUUAAGGACGAAAAAAUGACGGUACUUAAUGAAUAAGCUCCGGCUAACUACGUG